CGGAUUGCAGGCUGCAACUCGCCUGCAUGAAGUCGGAAUUGCUAGUAAUCGCGGAUCAGCAUGCCGCGGUGAAUACGUUCCCGGGCCUUGUACACACCGCCCGUCACACCAUGAGAGCCGGUAACACCCGAAGUCAGUAGUCUAACCGCAAGGGGGACGCUGCCGAAGGUGGGGCUGGUGAUUGGGGUGAAGUCGUAACAAGGUAAC
rnacentral:rRNA from 1 species